rnacentral:rRNA from 1 species
AUUGAACGCUGGCGGCGUGCCUUACACAUGCAAGUCGUACGGCAGCACGGGAGCAAUCCUGGUGGCGAGUGGCGAACGGGUGAGUAAAGUAUCGGAACGUGCCCAGUCGUGGGGGAUAACGUAGCGAAAGUUACGCUAAUACCGCAUACGAUCUAUGGAUGAAAGCGGGGGAUCGCAAGACCUCGCGCGAUUGGAGCGGCCGAUAUCAGAUUAGGUAGUUGGUGGGGUAAAGGCUCACCAAGCCGACGAUCUGUAGCUGGUUUGAGAGGACGACCAGCCACACUGGGACGGAGACACGGCCCAGACUCCUACGGGAGGCAGCAGUGGGGAAUUUUGGACAAUGGGCGAAAGCCUGAUCCAGCCAUGCCGCGUGCAGGAUGAAGGCCUUCGGGUUGUAAACUGCUUUUGUACGGAACGAAAAGGUUUGGCCUAAUAAGCUGAGCUCAUGACGGUACCGUAAGAAUAAGCACCGGCUAACUACGUGCCAGCAGCCGCCGUAA